ensembl:lncRNA
CCUGAGGGGAGCGUUGGUCGGGAUGUUCGGUAGGCCUUUGUUGUCAGCUUGUGGAGAAAACCCAAGGUCCGUGUGUCCUUAGCUGAACUGCCCUCAUGAUAACACUGAAACUCACACCCAUAGGAAAAACACCCCUCCCUUCCCCCCAGUGUGAAGAUCCCUCUGCUGCAUAUAUGGGAGUGGAAGUAUACAGUCGGCAGUUACCACAAUGCUCCCACAACGAGGUGGGCUUCCACAAAGGUGAAUGUCGGUGGAGUGGCAGUAGAUUGAACCUUCCCACCAGUGUUCCAUCACAUGUCGCUGUGUGACAGAUGGCAGCAGAGCGGCACUGACAGAAUGGCAUCUGACAUGGAAGCGUGGAUGAAGCGAAGGUGUGGGACUGAAUUCCUCCUUGUGGAAAAAAAAAAU